rnacentral:snoRNA from 1 species
GCAGAAGCAACAAACCGUCCUCUAAAAAUUAUGUCUAUCUCAUAGUGCCCCAUGCCAGAGCAAACUGUGGCCCCAAACCAUUGCCUGGACUCUGUGCCCUUAGGCUGCAGGCACUGCAGUGGCGGGGGGGG